GUGGGGAAUAUUGGACAAUGGGGGCAACCCUGAUCCAGCCAUGCCGCGUGAAUGAUGAAGGCCUUCGGGUUGUAAAGUUCUUUUGGAGGGGACGAUGAUGACGGUACCCUCAGAAUAAGCUCCGGCUAACUUCGUGCCAGCAGCCGCGGUAAUACGAAGGGAGCUAGCGUUGUUCGGAAUUACUGGGCGUAAAGGGAGCGUAGGCGGUUUGGUUAGUCAGAUGUGAAAGCCCAGGGCUUAACCCUGGAACUGCGUUUGAUACUGCCAAGCUUGAAUUCGUGAGAGGUGAGUGGAAUUCCCAGUGUAGAGGUGAAAUUCGUAGAUAUUGGGAAGAACACCGGUGGCGAAGGCGGCUCACUGGACCGACAUUGACGCUGAGGCGCGAAAGCGUGGGGAGCAAACAGGAUUAGAUACCCUAGUAGUCC
rnacentral:rRNA from 1 species